rnacentral:rRNA from 1 species
UACGGAGGAUGCAAGCGUUAUCCGGGAUGAUUGGGCGUAAAGCGUCCGCAGGUGGUGUUGUAAGUCUGUUGUUAAAGCGUGCGGCUUAACCGCAUAAGGGCGAUGGAAACUACAAGACUAGAGUGCGUUAGGGGUAGAGGGAAUUCCUGGUGUAGCGGUGAAAUGCGUAGAGAUCAGGAAGAACACCGGUGGCGAAAGCGGUCUACUAUGCCGCAACUGACACUGAGGGACGAAAGCUAGGGGAGCGAAUGGG